CUACACUCUUUCCCUACACGACGCUCUUCCGAUCUCGACAAGAGGCGAUGAAGGACGUUGUAGCUUGCGAUAAGCUUCGGGGAGGUAGCAAACAACCUUUGAUCCGAAGAUUUCCGAAUGGGGAAACCCGGCCAUUUUUAAUGGUCACCCUUUACUGAAUACAUAGGUAAUGUGGAGCGAACCUGGGGAACUGAAACAUCUAAGUACCCAGAGGAAAAGAAAUCAACCGAGAUUCCCUUAGUAGCGGCGAGCGAACGGGGACCAGCCCUUAAGCUCUAUUUGUGUUAGUGGAACAUACUGGAAAGUUUGGCCAUAGUGGGUGAUAGCCCCGUACACGAAAAUGCAUUUAGAGUGAAAUCGAGUAGAUCGGGACACGUGAUAUCCUGAUUGAACAUGGGGGGACCAUCCUCCAAGGCUAAAUACUACUUGUCGACCGAUAGUGAACCAGUACCGUGAGGGAAAGGCGAAAAGAACCCCUGUUAGGGGAGUGAAAUAGAUCCUGAAACCGUAUGCAUACAAGCAGUGGGAGCACCUUCGUGGUGUGACUGCGUACCUUUUGUAUAAUGGGUCAGCGACUUACUUUUAGUGGCAAGCUUAACCGUUAGGGGAGGCGUAGGGAAACCGAGUCUUAAUAGGGCGAAUUAGUCGCUAGGAGUAGACCCGAAACCGGGCGAUCUAUCCAUGGCCAGGGUGAAGGUGGGGUAAUACCUACUGGAGGCCCGAACCCACUUAUGUUGAAAAAUGAGGGGAUGAGCUGUGGAUCGGAGUGAAAGGCUAAACAAGCCCGGAGAUAGCUGGUUCUCCUCGAAAUCUAUUUAGGUAGAGCCUCGCAUAUCACUGUUGGGGGUAGAGCACUGUUACGGCUAGGGCCUCAUCCCGAGGUACCAACCCGUUGCAAACUCCGAAUACCAACAAGUGCAAUUGCGGGAGACACACUGCGGGUGAUAAGGUCCGUAGUGGAGAGGGAAACAGCCCAGACCGUCAGCUAAGGUCCCAAAAUGAUACUCAGUGGAAAACGAUGUGAAAAGGCACAGACAGCCAGGAGGUUGGCUUAGAAGCAGCCAUCCUUUAAAGAAAGCGUAAUAGCUCACUGGUCGAGUCGUCCUGCGCGGAAGAUGUAACGGGGCUAAGCACGUAACCGAAGCUUCGGAUGCAUAAUUUAUUAUGCAUGGUAGGAGAGCGUUCUGUAGGCCUGCGAAGGUGUUCUGUGAGGGAUGCUGGAGGUAUCAGAAGUGCGAAUGCUGACAUGAGUAGCGAUAAAGGGGGUGAAAAGCCCCCUCGCCGAAAGCCCAAGGUUUCCUGCGCAACGUUCAUCGGCGCAGGGUGAGUCGGCCCCUAAGGCGAGGCAGAGAUGCGUAGUCGAUGGGAAAUAGGUUAAUAUUCCUAUACUUUAAUAUAAUGCGAUGUGGGGACGGAGAAGGUUAGAUCAGCCGGGUGUUGGAUGUCCCGGUUCAAGCGUGUAGGUUGGUUCUUUAGGCAAAUCCGGAGAGCUAAGACCGAGACGUGAUAACGAGUGUACUUUGUACAUGAAGUGAUUGAUACCAUGCUUCCAAGAAAAGCCACUAAGCUUCAGUUAUAUUAAAACCGUACCGCAAACCGACACAGGUGGGCAGGAUGAGAAUUCUAAGGCGCUUGAGAGAACUCUAGAGAAGGAACUCGGCAAAAUAACACCGUAACUUCGGGAGAAGGUGUGCCCCGGUAGUGUGUAGCGAUUUACUCGUGAAGCAUGAUGGGGUUGCAGUGAAAAGGUGGCUGCGACUGUUUAAUAAAAACAUAGCACUGUGCUAACACGAAAGUGGACGUAUACGGUGUGACGCCUGCCCGGUGCUGGAAGAUUAAAUGAUGGGGUGCAAGCUCUUGAUUGAAGUCCCAGUAAACGGCGGCCGUAACUAUAACGGUCCUAAGGUAGCGAAAUUCCUUGUC
rnacentral:rRNA from 1 species